UUCAUCAGCUCCAUCACAAUCUUAAGAUGUCUCUGCUUCUCAUUCAACAACAUUAUCGGUUUCAAAACCAGUUGUUGCCAGUCAAUUUAUACCAAUCGCACAGAAGCAAAUUGGUCCAAUACACGAAAGAUGGUUUAUCUCAGUCUAGCAAGUCACAGGCCAUCGACCAUGGCGUUCAAAGCUGGACAUUUGCAGAAACUUCAAAUUCUAGAUUUAAGAACUCGACUAGACUAUUUCCUGAGAUGUAAUCUUUCAUCUUUUCAAGAAAACAACUAACGCGAUUCUUAGUUGAAGUAAGCAACAUUAGAAUUUCGUCAUUUCUUAUUUUGUUUCAUUGCGAUGAAAUUGCGCUUUAAUUUAAGUUUUUACAAGUUCUCAAGCAAUACAAACAAUAAUUUUUGUUA